rnacentral:rRNA from 1 species
UACUAGAGUAGCACUCGCAUAUCAAUAAGCGGAGGAAAAGAAACUAACAAGGAUUCCCCUAGUAACGGCGAGUGAAGCGGGAAGAGCUCAAAUUUGAAAUCUUAAAGGGUUUCCCUUUACGAAUUGUAGUUUAAAGAAGUGUUUUCUGUUGAGGUUUUGGUAAAAGUUCUUUGGAAUAGGACAUCAUAGAGGGUGAGAAUCCCGUAUUUGACCUUUACUUUCAACUUUGUGAUACACUUUCAAAGAGUCGGAUUGUUUGGGAAUGCAGUCCAAAAUGGGUGGUAAAUUUCAUCUAAAGCUAAAUAUUGGCGAGAGACCGAUAGCGAACAAGUACCGUGAGGGAAAGAUGAAAAGAACUUUGAAAAGAGAGUUAAACAGUACGUGAAAUUGUCAAAAGGGAAGCGUUUGACACCAGCGUUGUUUUUCUGAAAAUCAAUUAAAGAACUGUUUAUGCUAAGUUGUUUAGACUUUAUCAGCUAACUGUUUAGUUUUGAGCUUUUCUUUAAUGCACUUUUCAGUUAACAAGUCAACAUCAAUUUCUUUUGCUGUAAAAAAGCUUGAGGAAGGUGGCUUGAGAUUCGUCUUAAGUGUUUAUAGCCUCUUGCCUAUGCAGUCGGAGAGAUUGAGGUCUGCAGCGUAGAUCCUUCGGGGCUAAAUGCAUUUGUGCUAAGUUAUAGCAUUUUAUAGACAACUUGUUGACUAUGAUUUGUCUUGUAGCUUACUCGCUUAUGUUAUUUUACCUACGCUUAGGAUGUUGAGCGCAUGUCUCUCUCU